UACGUAGGGUGCAAGCGUUGUCCGGAAUUAUUGGGCGUAAAGAGCUCGUAGGCGGUCUGUUACGUCUGCUGUGAAAACCCGGGGCUUAACCCUGGGCUUGCAGUGGAUACGGGCAGACUAGAGGCAGGUAGGGGAGGAUGGAAUUCCCGGUGUAGCGGUGAAAUGCGCAGAUAUCGGGAGGAACACCGGUGGCGAAGGCGGUUCUCUGGGCCUGACCUGACGCUGAGGAGCGAAAGCGUGGGGAGCGAACAGG
rnacentral:rRNA from 1 species